rnacentral:tRNA from 7 species
GGGGGUGUAGCUCAGCUGGGAGAGCACCUGCUUUGCAAGCAGGGGGUCAGGAGUUCGAUCCUCCUCAUCUCCACCA